GUGCCUAAUACAUGCAAGUAGAACGCACAGUUUAUACCGUAGCUUGCUACACCAUAGACUGUGAGUUGCGAACGGGUGAGUAACGCGUAGGUAACCUGCCUGGUAGCGGGGGAUAACUAUUGGAAACGAUAGCUAAUACCGCAUAAUAUUAAUUAUUGCAUGAUAAUUGAUUGAAAGGUGCAAUUGCACCACUACCAGAUGGACCUGCGUUGUAUUAGCUAGUAGGUGAGGUAACGGCUCACCUAGGCGACGAUACAUAGCCGACCUGAGAGGGUGAUCGGCCACACUGGGACUGAGACACGGCCCAGACUCCUACGGGAGGCAGCAGUAGGGAAUCUUCGGCAAUGGACGAAAGUCUGACCGAGCAACGCCGCGUGAGUGAAGAAGGUUUUCGGAUCGUAAAGCUCUGUUGUAAGAGAAGAACGGGUGUGAGAGU
rnacentral:rRNA from 1 species